UACGUAGGUGGCAAGCGUUGUCCGGAUUUAUUGGGUUUAAAGGGUGCGUAGGCGGCCCCAUAAGUCAGUGCUGAAAUACUCUAGCUCAACUAGAGGGGUGGCAUUGAUACUGCGGGGCUUGAGUGGAGUCGAGGUAGGCGGAAUUGACGGUGUAGCGGUGAAAUGCUUAGAUACCGUCAAGAACACCGAUAGUGUAGACAGCUUACUAGGCUUCAACUGACGCUGAGGCACGAAAGUGUGGGGAUCAAACAGG
rnacentral:rRNA from 1 species